AUCGCUUCUCAGCCUUUCGGCUAAGAUCAAGUGUAGUAUCUGUUCUUAUCAGUUUAACAAUGUGACCAAUGGUGUCCAUCUGUCCACUUCAUUAACUUAUGAGCUCCU
rnacentral:snRNA from 1 species